UUUUUUUUUCAAUUUUUGCUUUGAUCUCUCAAUCUGUUGACAAACAUUGUGCUCCAUAUUAUUUGCAUCUCAUCUUUUCAUAUAAUUUAUAAAAAAAAAUUUCAUAUUGCUUUCUUCUUCGUUUUUUUUGUUUUGAUGUUUUGUGAUUUUUUUGGUGUUUUUCAAGUCAAAGGAUGUCGUUUCUGACGAUGGGUGGGCUAGUUGCUUCGACUGGACUCAUCGAUUUCAGCAUUUCUCGGUGGAUUUUCAACAAAGAGAGAGUCUAUCCGUCAAAUUUCACCGUGAUUGUGAUCGGCAGCGGCAUUAAUGUUGUUUUACCGGCGAGUAUUAGCCGAAAUUGAUCAAUGGGAUUGAAUUUUAGUUGGUGGUUUGUUGAUUUUGCAGAUCCGGUGAGGGACGGGCUUGGCCAUCCUUUUUAUGGGUUUUCCGAUGAUGUGAUCGCGGCGUGUCGGUAUAUUUCGAUCAGAUUUCUAUAAAAUGUAAUUUUUACAGUAUAGAUAUGUAUUUAUAUUUGGUAAUUAUAAGAUUUGUAUUUGAAUUUGGUACUGAUAAGAUUUGUAUUUGUUACAGUGUAGAUAUCGAUUUGUAUUUGGUAUUGUAAGAUUUGUAUUUGUUUCAAUAUAGAUAUGCAUUUUUUUAUUUAUAAUCUUAUAUUUUAU
rnacentral:lncRNA from 1 species